GAUAAACGCUGGCGGCGUGCAUGAGACAUGCAAGUCGAACGGACGAUCGAGGCUUGCUUCGAUCGUUAGUGGCGGACGGCUGAGUAACGCGUAGGUGACCUGCCCCGAAGUGGGGAAUAACUGCCCGAAAGGGUGGCUAAUACCGCAUGUGGUGGUGUGUUCAAUCACACCAGUAAAGCCGCAAGGCGCUUCGGGAGGGGCCUGCGUCCGAUUAGCUCGUUGGUGGGGUAACGGCUCACCAAGGCGACGAUCGGUAGGUGGUCUGAGAGGACGAUCACCCAGACUGGGACUGAGACACGGCCCAGACUCCUACGGGAGGCAGCAGUCGGGAAUUUUGCGCAAUGGACGAAAGUCUGACGCAGCAACGCCGCGUGAGGGAUGAAGGCCU
rnacentral:rRNA from 1 species